GUAGAUUGCCUUCCCAUGGCAAACUCCAGCAAAAAGGGGAAAGCACGCAGGACUCCUCCGAAGUGGUUUGGCCAGGCGAAACGACACUUCCAGGAAUUCGGUCUGAAGCAAAACCCAAAGUAUCCUGUAGGUAAACCGGAUGCGUACGCCCCGAAGGAGACCAAGCUUGGAAAACUCGUCCCUCGCCUAGGGUCCGGCAGCCAGUUGGAGAACCGCUCCGUAUGGUGGUUCGCACCGAAUGUAAUCAUGCCAGUACUCGACACCCUGGAGGGUGAGGCAACCAAUCAUUGGGGACUCUCCAUGGUUGGGUGAAGCCGUCCGCCACACGAGUGUCUCGUCCCGCAUACAUUCUGUCACAAAUGACGAAUACUUGUCCAGAAGCUAUAGAUAGCGAUCCUAUGUGAGAUCCGACUGCAGUCCAUAGUGGGCAACCGGUGAGAAGUCCAUGCCGGAAGGUAGCGAGCAAUACUGUGAAUGUUGAACAAACCUGCAGGUAGUUCCAUGCAGUUGACGAGUCAUCAAUCAAGUUUUAAUUGAGCUUCAUCCGAAGGUCACAUGAUUUGGUCAUACCAGGCCGAAGACACGAGAAAGCGCCAUGUUGAAGCAGCUGGUAGUACCGGAUCCUGGAGGUAUGGCUUCCAUGGCGAAUAGGCACCGGUCAAUUAACCGGGUUGGGCCCCUAAGUGUAACCCGCGGGUUGCGGAGCAUAUACCUGGAUCUUGGUCCUCGGGACCGAAUAUUCCAUGAAAGACCGGAAGCUGGAUUGACUGGGAGUGAGUCAGAUUCAAUAUGUCCACGUUGAUGGCAAAAUCCAUGCGGGUUUCUCUCAUGUGCAUUUGAGGGAGAGAACCAAUCGUCAACGCCGAGCAGCUCUUAGAGGGGAUGAGUGCCCUCCGUCUCAAAAUGUGUCAACAGACGACAUUUGCACUGGGAGCAUGUAGCGUGGGGAUGGGGCGGGAGUCCACUCCACCGCACCCUUUGCCCAGCAGGGCAACUGCAGAAUGAGUCGGAAUGGAUGCCUCUUUUGGUCAUGCGUAUCGCUCAUGGAACGGUCCAAGGUUCCGCAACCUUGAUCUGGAGUCCGGGCACGGUCCGAGAGACCUCUGGGGCUAGUUAAGGGGGAACCCUAUGAAUAGAGACGUGUCAGCUCAAUUUGUACACGAGGGUAACUCCGGAGAGCAGACCCAGCACUUGGAUGCUUAAUCCAUCAGUUUGAUGUCCAGCUUGGACAGGGGCCGUUUUGCGGUUCUCAGGGGUAGAAACCAACUAGGCGAUACCUAUAAGUCAUAUCGGUCCAUUCCCAGUGGGAAUUUAGUCUUCUCUGCUUUCCAAGUGGUAACGCGCCGUUCGUCACGAGGAAACAUCUGUGUCCGCGUGUCACCGACAUCCACUGGUUAGUCCGAGACAGAGUGCAAACCCCGUGUCAGGUGUUUGCGGUGUCCUUUCCGGACUCCGUCAUGAAGACUGAUCCUCUUGAUGAAUCCAUCCGUUAGCCAACGAGUACCAGGGGUGCUUGGUGUAGCAUCUAGGAUGGCUGGUGGAGUGUCCCCGUAGGGUACCGAUGGUUUCUGACAGUGAGGUCAGCGGGGCGGCAAGAGGACAGGCCAAGUGACCUUCUGGGUACGGGAGAUUUGUCCUUUAGCCGUGAUUGCACAACUGCCAUAGAGGUAACACUGUCGAAAUGAUACCUGGUGCGGCCAGCUAGGGUCACCCAGCGUGCAAGAGGGGGUCACCCAACAAGCACAAGCAUACCAUGCAGUAUAGGCCAGCAGGGGAGGGGGUCACCCUCAGUCUGAACAUAAUCGGAUACUGUAGGUACAGUGGUGCGGCCAGCUGGGGGUCACCCAGCGUGCAAGAGGGGGUCACCUAACAAGCACAAGCAUACCAUGCAGUAUAGGCCAGCAGGGGAGGGGGUCACCCUCAG